rnacentral:rRNA from 1 species
ACUCAAAUGAAUAGACGGGGGCCCGCACAAGCAGCGGAGCGUGUGGUUUAAUUCGAGGCUACACGAAGAACCUUACCUGGGUUUGACAUGUACGUAGUAGGGAACUGAAAAGGGACCGACCUUCGGGAGCGUACACAGGUGCUGCAUGGCUGUCGUCAGCUCGUGCCGUGAGGUGUUCGGUUAAGUCCGCAAACGAGCGCAACCCUCGGUGCUAGUUACACGUGUCUAGCACGACUGCCCGUGAGAAACGGGAGGAAGGUGGGGAUGACGUCAAGUCAGCAUGGCCUUUAUAUCCAGGGCGACACACACGCUACAAUGGGCGGUACAAUGGGUCGCGAAGUCGUGAGAUGGAGCCAAUCCAGAAAGCCGUUCGUAGUUCGGAUUGCAGGCUGCAACCCGCCUGCAUGAAGUCGGAGUUGCUAGUAACCGCGCAUCAGCUAUGGCGCGGUGAAUACGUUCCCGGGCCUUGUACACACCGCCCGU